rnacentral:rRNA from 1 species
AGUGAACGCUGGCGGUAGGCCUAACACAUGCCAGUCGAACGGCAGCACAGUAAGAGCUUGCUCUUACGGGUGGCGAGUGGCGGACGGGUGAGGAAUACAUCGGAAUCUACUUUUUCGUGGGGGAUAACGGAGGGAAACUUACGCUAAUACCGCAUACGACCUACGGGUGAAAGCAGGGGAUCUUCGGACCUUGCGCGAUUGAAUGAGCCGAUGUCGGAUUAGCUAGUUGGCGGGGUAAAGGCCCACCAAGGCGACGAUCCGUAGCUGGUCUGAGAGGAUGAUCAGCCACACUGGAACUGAGACACGGUCCAGACUCCUACGGGAGGCAGCAGUAGGGAAUCUUGGACAAUGGGCGCAAGCCUGAUCCAGCAAUACCGCGUGGGUGAAGAAGGCCUUCGGGUUGUAAAGCCCUUUUGUUAGGAAAGAAAAGCAGCAGGUUAAUCCAUCGCUGUUCUGACGGUACCCAAAGAAUAAGCACCGGCUAACUUCGUG